ACUUCUACAUGCGGAUGAUUGGCCUCUUCCUGUGAGGUCUGGUACUUGAAAAUCUGGGCUGUGAGCGUAUCUGAGAGGCAUGAUGAGGUGGGAUGAGCUGACGGCCGGGCUGGGGGUGGGAUUUACAAGUGUCAGCUGUGCCUCCAAGUCAAUUCAUGGCACGUUGCUUGUCAGGGUCCAAAGUGUGCUCCUCUGGGCAGUGACCUUUCGGAUGCAGCAAAGCUGAUCUUCCGACCAAACGUGACUGCUGACAAGGGUGCUUUUUAUUUGCAUUUGCUUUUAUUUGAUUCUAACUUUGGUAGUCGAAUAGUGAACCAAACCCAGUGAAGGAAAACUUUUAAAUACUUGAUUCCAGCUUCCACUUGAUGUUGUUUUCUUCUAGGCUGUUCUGAAAUCUCCCCACCCACCACGGAUCCCCACGUCUGUGCGACAUCCAGGAAGUGCCUUGACCUACCUCCUGCAGCUCUAUGAAUGAUUGGGCUUCUCUGAGUACCAGACGAAGUCGUCCCCUUUCAUUCUUCAAAUAACACCCUUGCAGAACCGGACAGACCUCAUCUUUCUGACCCGGGUGUGUCCUGAUCAGAGACAGGAGCCAGGAGACAUACGGGCCCUGAGGUUUGGGCCUGUACCAAACCCCGUCAGAAAGACCGAGAAGGGGACUGAGAAGUAAUUGCUUUCCAGAGAAAUUACUCUGUCACUGACAUGUAGACCCAAGAGGGACCCAGAUUCAACAGGCAGAAAGAAAGGUGGAGGUCAGCAAAGAAGUUAGCCAGCCCCCUUUGGAGCCCCCACGGAGACCUGCAUUAUGGCUCACUCCUCAAGCUGAAGGACCAGAAGACCACCUGGAGAGGAUUAAGGAGGGAAAAGUCUUCUGAGGAAAAGGUGAGAC
ensembl:lncRNA